GACCACUCAAGCUUAGCUUGGUAUUGGGGCACGCGGUUCCGCGGCCCUCAAAAACAGUGGCGGCGCCGGUGGGCUCUAAGCGUAGUACAUACUCCCGCUAUAGAGUUCCCCCGGUGGCUCGCCAAAAUCCCCCAAUCUUCUCA
rnacentral:misc_RNA from 1 species